rnacentral:lncRNA from 1 species
CAGCGCGCUGCCUCCGGGCGCGGCCUCCGGGCGCGGCCGGCCCGCCCAGGGCCGCCUUUCGCCCCCGCUGCCGCUGUCCUCACCUCUGCCGGGGAGGCGCAAGUCAAGGCGUCCUCCUCCCCCGGAGGGUCCGCGUCCUGACGGGGCGGAGAGACGUCGCGGAGAACCAGGCUGCAAACAUGCAUACAGAUUUGUGUCACAGAUUCCUUGCACCACAACCUCAUCUCUCUGCUCCGCUGACAAGUCUAGUGUUCUUCAGGUGCAGUUUCACAGUACUCAAAACAAAUUUAAGUUGCAGUGGCUUCCAUCUCUCUGCCUCAGACUGCAUGUUCCUACUCCCCACAUGGACCUCGUGUGCUCCAGGUUGUGCGCUCCUGCCUGCAAUUCUUCCCUCACCUCUUCCCUCAUGCCCUCCCUAUAGGAGGCCUCACCGCACUAUGGGACCUUCUUAUCAACCUCCUCCUGGCCCUGGACAAGCUGGCCACCUGUGCCACUAGGAUGAAGCUUAGUGGAGGAUCCAAAUGACUGUGGAGCUUGUCCACUGAUGUCUCCAAGCCCAGCACCUGUGUGUGUCAUCCAGCAUCAGUGAUGAUGUCUGGGGAACUUGGCUCAGCCCUCUCUUAAUCCAUUUUUGACCUUUUGAUCCUCACAUUCCCUCCCUUUAUUUCAUUGAUUGCCCCUUUAAGCAGGGGGUAUGUUCUCCAAGUUCCUCUUACUCUAACCUUUUUCCUGUGCCUGAAGGGUUUGACAAUCUGAUUAGAACUAGGCUAGCACCCGCUCUUAAAACAGAAGACAAAAAAUCCUUUGUACUCACAGAGAUGCUUGUCUGACCCUGCAGUGAGCUGGUCACUGAGCUGAAUCAGGUGAGAACUAACCACCCAAUUUCUCACCUUACUAAGGAAAGAAACAAAAAAACAAAAAAAAAAGCGACAUUUUUGGAGGGCUCACUUCCCCACCGGAUCAAUGAGUGCCAGUGCUAAUGCAGGCAGAGGCAGGAAAGAACGACCACAGUAGUUCUGCACCCUCAGUCACUUCUCCUGUAGAACCAUUCUGAAUCUUUGAUGAUCCCUCUUGCUCUUCAAGAAAUCUCUUCUAGUUCUAUUUUCUUUCUGAGAUGGGAGAACUUAGAAGGGGACUGUUUAGAUACUCUAGACUUUUCAUUCUUCUGCAAAAAUAAUGUUUUUUUAAAAAAACUAAAAGCUGUUACUAACAUAUUCAAUGUUGACAGUUUCUUUUUUAGUACACAAGAAUAAAUUGCUAAAAAAGAGAUAUGCCA